rnacentral:SRP_RNA from 1 species
CAUUGGUUCUCUCGCAACGAUAGCUGGUAAACUUGGUCAGGCCCGGAAGGGAGCAGCCAUAGCUGGUGAUUCGUGUGCCGAGAUGUCGCUGGUGGGG